UAGCCAGUGUGUGCCAGCCUCACCACAGCUUGCUCGGAAUGACGAUGAAGGAUCCUCACAAGCAGGUCUCUCUCAGGAUCACCAACUCCUCACCAAUGAAACUCCUGACAGUACUCUCUCAAAGAAGGUGGAUCGCAUGCAGAACACGCUGGACACAAUAUACGAGAUGCUAAAACGUGUCAUCCCAGCACCCGGAGAGAGGGCGACUGAGGGGGAAAAAUUUGUCCCCGAUGGAUUUGUCCCUGCGCUGCCCAGUGAUCCCUACGAGAUUCUUGCAUACUUCGGCUUCCCAGCUGAUUCGGUUGAGAGAAUCUUGGCUAAACACUCACACUUCUUCGAUGGGAAGGCCAACACUGAGCCACACAAAUCCCACAGGAUGGCACUGAGGAAGGCCUUUUUGCAACUGUGCUCCAAGCCAAAUGCUGGGACGAAGCGUGGCUUGACACAUUGCAUUCGACAGCUUAUCCACAAGUUAGCCCCCAGAAGUGUCUGGGUGCACUACUGUCUCAAGGGGCACUCGCCAAGAAAACGUAGCAUGGAAGACGAACUUCAUCGCUUCGUCAGAAUCAUCAUGGUAGUUGUGAUGAAGAUUUGGGGGGUGGACGAGAAUGUCGCCUCCACACACCUUGCCGAGGCGUUGCGGAAAGAAAGCGACCGAGCUGGCUUCCGUUUAACGCCUCGGGCAAAGAAAACACGAGGUGGACGAAAUGGUGAACCAAACGCUGUUACAGACAACAUACGUGAUGACAUUGCUAUUGCCUCAAACAGCACAGAUACCACUAUAUCUAGAGGUUCUCCAAGUAAUUUAGAUAAGGGCCCAUGUGACUCAGAUGGAGACGUAGACAGUAUUGUAGCAAACAGUGACAGCGACAGGAGUGGUGUAUCGGAUGCAAACUCGACGCUUUCUGAUGAUGAAUAAAUGUAUUAAGUCCUAAUGUAUCAGUAAUCUCGGGUACUGCAAUGACAUAAUGUUUAAUUCUUCCUUAUUCACAUAUUUCUCACUUCCUCUGCCUCUUUUUUUCUUUUACUAACACAUUCUAUAUAACUAACAUACUAACCGCCAGUAUCGCUCUGGCAUACUAACGUUCAUACUAACCUUUAAUGGCAUCUAU